rnacentral:rRNA from 1 species
UACGAAGGGGGCUAGCGUUGCUCGGAAUCACUGGGCGUAAAGCGCACGUAGGCGGAUUGUUAAGUCAGGGGUGAAAUCCUGGAGCUCAACUCCAGAACUGCCUUUGAUACUGAGGAUCUCGAGUCCGGGAGAGGUGAGUGGAACUCCGAGUGUAGAGGUGAAAUUCGUAGAUAUUCGGAAGAACACCAGUGGCGAAGGCGGCUCACUGGAACGGUACUGACGCUGAGGCGCGAAAGCGUGGGGAGCAAACAGG